CCCUUAGAUGUUCUGGGCCGCACACGCGCUACACUGAAGGAGGCAGCGUGUACUCCUGGAUCGAAAGAUUUGGGUAACCCGCGAAUCUCCUACGUGCUAGGGAUUGAGGUUUGCAAUUAUCCUUCAUGAACGAGGAAUUCCCAGUAAGUGCAAGUCAUAAGCUUGCGCUGACUACGUCCCUGCCCUUUGUACACACCGCCCGUCGCUACUACCGAUUGAAUGAUUUAGUGAGGACUUCGGACUGGGACCGAUGCGGCUUUCGGGCUGCGUCGGUAUUCUGGAAAGAUGUCCAAACUGUAUCAUUUAGAGGAAGUAAAAGUCGUAACA
rnacentral:rRNA from 1 species